AAGGCUGUGGCUUANCCAUAGUACGCUUUGGAAACUGUUUAACUUGAGUGCAGAAGGGGAGAGUGGAAUUCCAUGUGUAGCGGUGAAAUGCGUAGAUAUAUGGAGGAACACCGGUGGCGAAAGCGGCUCUCUGGUCUGUAACUGACGCUGAGGCUNGAAAGCGUGGGGAGCGAACAGGAUUAGAUACCCUGGUAGUCCACGCCGUAAACGAUGAGUGCUAGGUGUUAGGCCCUUUCCGGGGCUUAGUGCCGCAGCUAACGCAUUAAGCACUCCGCCUGGGGAGUACGACCGCAAGGUUGAAACUCAAAGGAAUUGACGGGGGCCCGCACAAGCGGUGGAGCACGUGGUUUAAUUCGAAGCAACGCGAAGAACCUUACCAGGUCUUGACAUCCCGAUGCCCGCUCUAGAGAUAGAGUUUUACUUCGGUACAUCGGUGACAGGUGGUGCAUGGUUGUCGUCAGCUCGUGUCGUGAGAUGUUGGGUUAANNNNNNCAACGAGCGCAACCCUUAUUGUUAGUUGCCAUCAUUCAGUUGGGCACUCUAGCGAGACUGCCGGUAAUAAACCGGAGGAAGGUGGGGAUGACGUCAAAUCAUCAUGCCCCUUAUGACCUGGGCUACACACGUGCUACAAUGGCUGGUACAACGAGUCGCAAGUCGGUGACGGCAAGCUAAUCUCUUAAAGCCAGUCUCAGUUCGGAUUGUAGGCUGCAACUCGCCUACAUGAAGUCGGAAUCGCUAGUAAUCGCGGAUCAGCACGCCGCGGUGAAUACGUUCCCGGGCCU
rnacentral:rRNA from 1 species